rnacentral:lncRNA from 7 species
AGGAUUAGAAGUUUCCACCAUUACUUCUGUGAAGACGCGUGGAUUCAUUCAGGCCGCCUUCCUUGAGUGGGUAUUUUAUUUUUCCUGCUGGUGGUGUUCUCAGGAUGUGUGCAUGAUGCGGGACCAGGUGCAAUAGUGCAUCAGCAAGAACAGCUUCCUGAAUGACUACAGCGGCUGAGUUCUACGGAAGAAAUGGAGCAAAACUCUCCACCAGGGAAUGCUGCCAGCUUUCCAUUACGCUUAGAGGAAAUCAGGUCGCCUUCCAGUGAGUUCCAGUCACCAAAUUAUUUUAUUGUUACAAUAUGAUGAAGCGACUUUUAUUUUGUGCACUUCAUGGUGCCCAAAAUGUUAGUUUUCACAGUAUAGAAUGGAUGUGACAGCAUUUGUCAUGGAAGCACUGAGUAGAGUAUGUUGCAACUUCAUUCAAUUGUGCUGUUUUAUGAACUUCUGCAGUAAAAUGUGCCAGCAAAUUAUGUUGUAUUAUUUUUGUUCUGGCGAUUAACUAAUUAUUCAUAUAAUAAAUACCAGCUAACUACAAGAAAGAGAUUUAUUUGUCACAGACUUAGAAGAAUGUCAAACUUUUCCCAUUUCAUGUAAAAAGGCAGAGGAAAAAAUACUUCUAAAAUGACUUUGCAACACGUGCUUUAUUUUAAGUCAUUACUGAAUCAAAACUACACAGUAUACCCUUUUAAUAUACCUUACUCACUCAAUGAUUUUUUUUCUCUCAAUAAUUUUUUUUUAACAUGGAAUGAAAUCUACAUUGCAAAUGUAAAUUUUCAUGCUACAAUGAUCUCUAAUGAGCCAUUUGUGUCACUAAUAAUAGUAAUUUAAGAAAAAAAGGCCACUUUUCAAGCUCAUAUGCAUGUCUAUAUUUGGGAACUUAAAAAAAAAAAAAACAACAACCCGUCUCAGAUGUAAAAAUGUGACUUGGAAUAUGUAAACAUUUUUCUAUACCUGAAACACUGGAAGAAGAGUAUCAGCCAACAGCAAAACAAUGGUUGCCUUAAGUCAUCGAAAUGGGAAAAAGCAAGUCAUGGGGAGCAGAGAGAAGCACACACUAUUCAGUUUUUAAAGGAUUAUAAGAAAUGAAGUAGCUCCUUAGGUCAUUGAAUUCACGUUCUUUUCUCAUCUAACAGAAAGCAGUAACUCUGAAGAAAAUGGCCUAGCAGAACAUCCCAAUAUUUCACCAUAAUUAUUCUAGCCAUUAGUUACCCUCGACGAAAUGUCAAGUUUCAGUUGCUGUUUUUUUUUUUUCCUGAGUCAUUGAUGUUUGGUGGAAAUGUUUUCUGUGACUGUACAAAUAAAAUAAGGCAUUU